UAUUUUGAUAUUCGGAUUCGAAUAACUCGACACUGUCUAGCGGGUUAUAAAGCUUUACCGGAUCUUUUUCAGAUCGAUUAUCUCCUGAUGGUUUCUGUUGCAGUUCGAUCAAAGAUGAUUUAUUGUCAAACUCUUCUACAAUCUUGUAAAACAGACGUUUGCGUUGGAAACAUUCCCGUGCCCUUGCCACGCGAAGGAUGUCUGAAGUUGGCGAUCUUAUUUCAAACGUACUAGUUGGAGUUGUACUCGAUGGCGAAGGGUUGAGGUCAGGAAGCACGCUGAAAUUACGGUUGGUUCAAGGCACUACUCGAGGAUACUGUUCACCUUGUUCUUCUCGAAUGACUACACCGGCC
rnacentral:misc_RNA from 1 species